GCAGCGUUGGUGAUAGCUGGAUACACGCAAGGGGAGGGAACGCUCACCCCCGCACGCUUGUGCCGCUGCAGCGUGGGUAUACUCACAACGACACCUUUUAACAGUUUUUUUCCUAGCUAUGAAGGGAAAGGGCUUGUUAAAUACAAAAGGGGUGCCACGGAGGUGGCAUUAGCUCCGUGGCGAGGCUCGGGCUGGGGUGGGGGUGCCUGGGUUUCCGCCCGUUUCAGUGCUAUUUCUGAGCAGCGGCGGCUCGAUUUCUAUAUAUAUAGGUCUGAACCAGCGGCCGAGCGGCGCGGGUCCCCACCGCGGGGUCUCGCUUCUCGGGGUGCUGCUGCUGGAGCAGGGGGUGCGGGUGGCUGCGGGGUAGCCGUGCCCACUGAUUUUUAGAAUAAUAAUAAAAACAAUAACAACAACAAGAGUAAUCCCUAGCACUCCCCUCACCCCCCAAAAAAAACCUUUAAAGGGGAAUAAGAGCCAGAAACUCACGAGCCUAAAGUCAUGCGGGAGGGAGGCGCCGGCCCCGCCCCGGCCCCGCGCAGCCCCGGAGCGGCGCGGAGCGGGAGCGGCGCGGCGCGGGGGGGCGCGGAGCGGCGCGGAGCGGCGCGGAGCGGGGGGGCGCGGAGCGGGGCGCUGCGAUGUGCAGGAUGUCGUUCAAGGAGAAACGGGGGUGUUUGAGGGCGGAAGGAAAGAAAACGGAAGCGUCCUUCCCGGGCUCUGGGGUGCCCUGGGAGUGCUGCGGUGGCAGCCGAUGGAGCCGGUGCUUUCCACGGCUGACACCCCCGAAAGGACCCGCGGUUGGUGUUGCAUAAACGGCGAGCCCCCGUGAAGCCUUACGCUGCUGGCUUUAGGGCGGCCAGGCUCAGCGCCGUGGGCUUUGGUGCAGGCGGGAGCCUCCUCCGCACUUUUCCGAGCAUCUCUGCUAUUGCGGGUUGUGUAAUAGUUGGGAGGCAGCGCUUACCCGUGCUCUCCGUUUCGGGCUGUGGGGGCCGCUGAAGCCGGGCUGGUUCGUUCCCUUUUCCGUUUGUGAUUCGUGUCGCUAUUGGUACUUCUUCCAGCCCAAACCGUGCGAGAGCUGUCAUUUUCGAAAGAUAGCCUGUUUUUAAACCUGAG
rnacentral:lncRNA from 1 species